UACGUAGGGGCCUAGCGUUGUCCGGAAUUACUGGGCGUAAAGGGCUCGUAGGCGGCCAACUAAGUCGGACGUGAAAUCCCCAGGCUCAACCUGGGAACUGCGUCCGAUACUGGAUGGCUUGAAUCCGGGAGAGGGAUGCAGAAUUCCAGGUGUAGCGGUGAAAUGCGUAGAUAUCUGGAGGAAUACCGGUGGCGAAGGUGGCAUCCUGGACCGGCAUUGACGCUGAGGAGCGAAAGCCAGGGGAGCAAACGGG
rnacentral:rRNA from 1 species